CCACAGGCCAGUCAAACCUCACUACCUGAUACCAGUAAGUGCCUUAGCCUCUGGCUGGGAUUCUCUUAGGAUCACUCUCCCCUUAACAAAGCUACAGGAGGAUUAGCCACUAGCUGACCCAGAGGGAGCAGGUCAGAGCCCUCUUUCCUGGAUAGGGCCCCUACCUCCAUAAAGAAACUUGUUUUGCCACCCUUGUCUGUUUAGUCUCUGAGAUAAUAUCACUGCACACCCAUAUUUUCUCUGAGCUGUUACAUUUUGCAGUGACGUGAAUAACUUGUAUCUUAUUAGAUUUCAAACGAAUGUAUUUAUGACAUGUCAUCUUUGAAAUAAAUUGCAGGACACCAGCGUGUGAGGCGCAGUAGGCCAGGCCUGAGGAGUGGCUGACCCAGAGUACUGAACCACAAAUGGGUCUCCAUGACACAGAGCCGGUGGCUUCUCCCUACACCAUCCCCCAGAGCCGGGGGUUCCUCCCCGCUCUGCCCGCUCCGUUCGCCCUUCCCCCGCAGCUGGGGGCUCCUUCCGGCCGCGCCCUUCCCGCCUCCCGGGCUGGGGACUCCGCCCUGUCUCCGCGGUUCUUUUCCGGAACGUUGUUAGGUCGCGCUCUAGGGUUGCAGCCGCUGUCUCACGAGACCGACCACCCGGUGGCGCCACAUCCCCGCGAGACAGCGGCCUAUAACCACUCCUAUCCCAUGACGUCACACACGGACACGACGGGAAGAGGGACCAGAAAGCCUAGGAACCGUGGGCUCUUCAGAGGCCUGUAACCAGACAGAAGCAGGCGUCACUUCCAGUGUGUUUCAUUCUGCCCCAGCCAGUCUGUGGGCUGGGAGCGCCCUGUUUUCAGAUGACAUUUCGCAGCAGAGCCUCCCCCUGGCAGGUCCCUGUUGGCAGUUUCACGUGGUGAGGAACGGGCUCUCCCUGUAUGUUCAUACCCAACCCCCCAUCGAUAGGCAAAAAUACUCCUGCCCAACACAUCCUCUCCUGUAAGGCGGCACUGAGAACUGCGGCGUUCGCGUUUGAAUGCAGGCUGAUUUCCAGCACAAGCUCCUGUGUCCAUUGCACACGGAGCGAUGAACUCAGAGAACAAACUGGCAGUGACAGGGAUUCAGUAUUUGACCUUGGGCAUAACAUCAGACAUCUCUGAACCUCAGAUCUGUGGCAUGGAAAUAAUAAUGCCCACCAGCCUUAAUUAAGCUAAAGGUCUUUGAGGUUCUCAAACAGAAAGUACUCUAGAAGUGCGAUGUAUCAUUGUAAUACCUGCCUUUCCUGCCUCUCUCUCAUAAGAUUUUUAUAGGUAGAAGUAGAAGGAAAAAUGUCAGUUUUCAGUGGACAUAAAUUAAUAUAAUAAACAAAUAUUUUGCUAGGUCUAAGUCCUAGUA
rnacentral:lncRNA from 1 species